rnacentral:tRNA from 1 species
UGGACGCGUAGCUCAACUGGCAGAGCAUUCGACUCUUAAUCGACAGGUUGUAGGUUCGAUUCCUACCGCGUCCACCAU